AUUCCUAUCAAAAUUUGAGAGGUUUGAUUUUUUGAUAUAAUCCUCGGCUUUGCUUCCCAGAAAAACAUCUGUAAUAGAUUUUCCCAUUGAAUUCGCUAAAUCGUAUGAUUUUAUUCCGCUAAUUUCCAAAUAGCACGAAAGAAAAUAUAAUUGAAGUGCGGUCCACUGUUCCACCACUCGAUUUAUAACGUUUUCUAAGGAGAGCCAUCUUGUCAACGAAAUACCUAAUAUUUUGUGCGGUGGUACUGCACAAUAGUCUUGAAAUUCUUUAAAGUUAUUGAUACGAUUAGCACUGCAUAGGUAGAGCAUAGAUGCAACGAAUGACAAGUGCAUUUAAGAAAAAACAUAUUGGAGUUGCUCUUAAGCUUGGCUUGCAGACCAUUCACCUCACCGGCCAUAACACUUGCACCGUCAGUUGACAGUCCAAUUAAAUUUUCAAAUGGAAUAUCAUUUUCAGAAAAAAAUGUCUUAAUGCUGUUGUAAAUGGUUUCAGCGUCACAUUUUAUAAGUUCAAUCAAACCCAAAAAUCUAUCUUUAAUAAUUUUGGAAUUCUUGUCGACAUACCUUACAACUAAAACUAAAGACUUUCUGAAUGAAAUAUCAGUCGUCUCGUCUGUUAUUAAGGAAAAUUUAGUAGUUUGCAGCUCUGAAACUAUUUUCUGCUUCGCUUUUGUUCCUAGCGUCUCUGCAAGUUGAGUUGCUUUCGCUCGUCCGAACUUGAUUGAUUUUGCAAUUUCCGAAUCGGGACAGCAUUCUUUUAUCAGAUUUGGUAAAAAAUCCAUUAAUAAAAAUGGGAGAUUGUGAGUUAUUAAAAAAUGGACGAGCGUGAGCUCAGCCCAAUAAACUUUUUUUUUCAAAACUCGACUUGUCCCGCUGCAAGCACGAAUCAAUUUGUAUUUGAUUUCUUUUUUUUCCAUGUUUUUGAUAUGGCUUUCUUUUCUUUUAU